CCUGGAGCUGUUAAUGAGAAGACACAGUGACUGACACAUGUCAUUUCUGAUACUGAGUUUUAUCCACCUAAACCAUACAGACAUUUAGCCUGAGUCACAAACUUAACUAAAAUACUUCUAACCAGAAACAAUGUUGAAAUAAAUAUAGUUCAUUACAGAUUUCAGGCUACAUUUUCAUAUAUACCAUCAGGGUAUGCUGCUCUAGGUUUCAUCGAGGAUUCCACAGCCUUUUUAAUAUCUAUGCAGACAACAUACUUUGUUGUUGUUGUUCAAGUUCUCUAGAAUUUCAUAGCAAUUUUCUGUUUACAUUUUCUGUAUAUACAUGCAAGGUAAAGUUUAAUUCUGUGUUUAUUUCAAGUAAGGCUAUAUCUAAUAUAUAUAUGCCACCAGCGACUAAUAAAUGAUUAAAUAUAGCUGCACUUUUAAAUGCUGAGUCCUGCCAGCUGAUAAAAUAAAUUAACUUUUCCCCUCCAUACAUGAAACACUGUAGAAAAUGGCUUCCCUUACAUAGGAACUAGUGAAGAGGAACAGUGCAGUCCAUCCAUAUGAGGAUGAUGUUUCACAUGAUAAUUCAGUUAUCCCUUAACUAAAUUAUGGCUAUAUUUUGGUUUAGACCAUACAAGGGAGAACUAGGAAGUAUCCAAAUGGGAUCACCACUCAGAUUUCAUACAUGAAACACAGAGAAACAGGCAAUAAUGUUUGUAAGUCUUUAACUCAUAUUAUCAAUUUACUUGCCAUGCAUUUGUAUGUAUACAGAUGGGGAAGUGGAGAGGCAAGUGUAUUCAUACAUUAGUUUGUUACGACGGAGCCGUGGUUCUCAAGGGAGCAGUACUGUCCCCUAGGAGGCAGUUUGGGAACUUGUCAGAGUAUUUUUUGAUAGUCACAAUAGUGAGGUAGAAGUACAGAAGGCAAGAUGGAUGCUGUCCAAUGCUCUGGACAGUGUUUGCACAAUGAAAAAUUAACCCACUUCCACACAAACUUCAAAUGCACUGCCAGACACACAUGUAAGUUAAUAAUCUAUUUAAAAUGCUUAAACCCAGAACCAAAAUCAAUUUUAUGUAGAAACAAAGUAUUUUUGGAUAGUUUUAAUAAACAUUAGUUUCCACCUAGUUUCUACUUCUUCUCUUUCAUUUUCUUAUACUUGCAUAGAAUAGCUUCCAGUCUUCUCUUAAAUCCAAUUUGUGUUAAGUAAAUACAAUCAUCUGUCCAUUAUGUCUUUUAGUAUAAUGUAGGCACUUACAUAUUGAAAUGUACAUAAUUUUGUUAUAAAUUAUAAUUAAAAAAUUAUACUGAUAUUUUUAUGGGUGCGGGUGGGUCUUCUUAUCUAUGAAUGGUUCUUCAGGAUAGUAUAAAGGCUUUAUAAAUACUUGUUAUAAAAAGGGAGAAGUGGGUUGAUAGGGUUGAGAACCACCACUCUAAACAGAACACAGUUGAAAAUGACUGCUUAAGAAAUAAAGCCCAGUUGCUCCCACCAUAUACACACAAUAAGCAUUUGGAUAUGACAUUAUAUUCCGUUAUUAUGAUUCCUGAAACUCUUGAAACUUUGUUCCUGUUAUUGAAGAAAAAUAAAUUUGCCACUUCUUUUAUAUUGCAGAUCAGACACUUAUCAACUAAGGAAAUGAAGUAUUUCUUACUAGGAUUGCCGAUAUCUUCCUGACUUUGGUCUUCUAAAAUAGAAACAGAUUUUGAGUUAGUUGCAUUGUACAUCUAUAUAUCCAGAAAGAGAAAAAUCUAACUAAAUGAUUAAGCAAACAUGGUUAUCUCUGAGAAUGGGCCUGCAGGGCAAGAUGUGGAAGUGGAAGCAGAAGCACCAGCACAGGAAAGUGAAAUAGCUUACAUGAAAAGUUACCCUGUGAAAAUGGCAGAGGAAAGACUUCACUAAGCUGGGUCUGUCUAUACAGCCUGUGUUCAUUCCCAACACCUGGCUCAGCAGCUGCCUUUCAGAGAACCACUGUAUCUCAAAGGAGCCAAUGAAAAUACAAUGCAAACUCGGGCCACUGAGCUGAAGAGUUGUAGACACACAAGGUGUGUCAUCAGUGUUGUCAGAGGUUCACUUCAAAGUUGUAACCAAAUAAAUGUGUGACACAC